rnacentral:rRNA from 1 species
AUUGAACGCUGGCGGCAUGCCUUACACAUGCAAGUCGAACGGCAGCACGGGAGCAAUCCUGGUGGCGAGUGGCGAACGGGUGAGUAAAGUAUCGGAACGUGCCCAGUCGUGGGGGAUAACGUAGCGAAAGUUACGCUAAUACCGCAUACGAUCUAUGGAUGAAAGCGGGGGAUCGCAAGACCUCGCGCGAUUGGAGCGGCCGAUAUCAGAUUAGGUAGUUGGUGGGGUAAAGGCUCACCAAGCCGACGAUCUGUAGCUGGUCUGAGAGGACGAACAGCCACACUGGGACUGGGACCCGGCCCAGACUCCUACGGGAGGCAGCAGUGGGGAAUUUUGGACAAUGGGCGAAAGCCUGAUCCAGCCAUGCCGCGUGCAGGAUGAAGGCCUUCGGGUUGUAAACUGCUUUUGUACGGAACGAAAAGGUUUGGCCUAAUAAGCUGGGCUCAUGACGGUACCGUAAGAAUAAGCACCGGCUAACUACGUGCCAGCCGCCGCCGUAA